rnacentral:hammerhead_ribozyme from 1 species
AUUUACCCGACGAGUCCCAAAUAGGACGAAAAGCGCGUCUUGGAU